rnacentral:rRNA from 1 species
GACGAACGCUGGCGGCGUGCUUAACACAUGCAAGUCGAACGGAAAGGCCCCUUUUGGGGUACUCGCGUGGCGCACGGGUGAGUAACACGCGAGUAACCUGCCCUUCUCUUCGUGAUAACUUCCUGAAACUGGGGCUAUUACCCGAGAGAGAUCCUUGCUGUAUGGUGGGGGUUGGAAAGCUUCGGCGGGUUUGGAUGGAAUCGCGGCUUAUAUGCUUGUGGGUGGGGUAGUGGCUUACCACGGCUGUGAGGUGUAGCGGGCCAGAGAGGGCGAGCGGCCAUAGUGGGACUGAGAUAGGGCCGAGACUCCUACGGGAGGCAGCAGGGGGGAAUAGUGCACAAGGGGCGGAAGUCAGAUGCAGAAGCGGCGCGGGCGGGAUGAGGGCCUGGGGGUUGUAAACCGCUCUCAGCAGGGGCGAAGCUUGUGGUGACGGUACCGGCAGAAGAAGCACCGGCUAACUACGUG